rnacentral:lncRNA from 1 species
AAAUGUCUUUAUCUAAGGUAAUCUUGGGGAACACUUAAGUGUGCUUGAAGAGGUUGUAUGGGCGGUCACUUCUUGUCUCACUCAAGUGUGUCUUAAGGUUAUAUUAGGUAGAGGUCCUAUGGUAAUGAAAUGACAUGUGUUCUUUUUAAGUUAAGCAUGGGUUGUAUAUGGACAUAUGUUGAUUAUAUGUAUGGUUGUAUAUGGACAUAUGUUGAUUAUAUGUAUGGUUGUAUAUGGACAUAUGUUGAUUAUAUGUAUGGUUGUAUAUGGACAUAUGUUGAUUAUAUGUAUGGUUGUAUAUGGACAUAUGUUGAUUAUAUGUAUGGUUGUAUAUGGACAUAUGUUGAUUAUAUGUAUGGUUGUAUAUGGACAUAUGUUGAUUAUAUGUAUGGUUGUAUAUGGACAUAUGUUGAUUAUAUGUAUGGUUGUAUAUGGACAUAUGUUGAUUAUAUGUAUGGUUGUAUAUGGACAUAUGUUGAUUAUAUGUAUGGUUGUAUAUGGACAUAUGUUGAUUAUAUGUAUGGUUGUAUAUGGACAUAUGUUGAUUAUAUGUAUGGUUGUAUAUGGACAUAUGUUGAUUAUAUGUAUGGUUGUAUAUGGACAUAUGUUGAUUAUAUGUAUGGUUGUAUAUGGACAUAUGUUGAUUAUAUGUAUGGUGGGCUAUGGUCUUAUAUGUUAAUGUUGAC